AGAGUUUGAUCCUGGCUCAGAUUGAACGCUGGCGGCAGGCCUAACACAUGCAAGUCGAGCGGUAGCACAGAGAGCUUGCUCUCGGGUGACGAGCGGCGGACGGGUGAGUAAUGUCUGGGAAACUGCCUGAUGGAGGGGGAUAACUACUGGAAACGGUAGCUAAUACCGCAUAACGUCGCAAGACCAAAGUGGGGGACCUUCGGGCCUCAUGCCAUCAGAUGUGCCCAGAUGGGAUUAGCUAGUAGGUGGGGUAAUGGCUCACCUAGGCGACGAUCCCUAGCUGGUCUGAGAGGAUGACCAGCCACACUGGAACUGAGACACGGUCCAGACUCCUACGGGAGGCAGCAGUGGGGAAUAUUGCACAAUGGGCGCAAGCCUGAUGCAGCCAUGCCGCGUGUAUGAAGAAGGCCUUCGGGUUGUAAAGUACUUUCAGCGAGGAGGAAGGCGUUAAGGUUAAUAACCUUGGCGAUUGACGUUACUCGCAGAAGAAGCACCGGCUAACUCCGUGCCAGCAGCCGCGGUAAUACGGAGGGUGCAAGCGUUAAUCGGAAUUACUGGGCGUAAAGCGCACGCAGGCGGUCUGUCAAGUCGGAUGUGAAAUCCCCGGGCUCAACCUGGGAACUGCAUUCGAAACUGGCAGGCUAGAGUCUUGUAGAGGGGGGUAGAAUUCCAGGUGUAGCGGUGAAAUGCGUAGAGAUCUGGAGGAAUACCGGUGGCGAAGGCGGCCCCCUGGACAAAGACUGACGCUCAGGUGCGAAAGCGUGGGGAGCAAACAGGAUUAGAUACCCUGGUAGUCCACGCCGUAAACGAUGUCGACUUGGAGGUUGUGCCCUUGAGGCGUGGCUUCCGGAGCUAACGCGUUAAGUUGACCGCCUGGGGAGUACGGCCGCAAGGUUAAAACUCAAAUGAAUUGACGGGGGCCCGCACAAGCGGUGGAGCAUGUGGUUUAAUUCGAUGCAACGCGAAGAACCUUACCUACUCUUGACAUCCAGAGAACUUAGCAGAGAUGCUUUGGUGCCUUCGGGAACUCUGAGACAGGUGCUGCAUGGCUGUCGUCAGCUCGUGUUGUGAAAUGUUGGGUUAAGUCCCGCAACGAGCGCAACCCUUAUCCUUUGUUGCCAGCGAUUCGGUCGGGAACUCAAAGGAGACUGCCAGUGAUAAACUGGAGGAAGGUGGGGAUGACGUCAAGUCAUCAUGGCCCUUACGAGUAGGGCUACACACGUGCUACAAUGGCAUAUACAAAGAGAAGCGACCUCGCGAGAGCAAGCGGACCUCAUAAAGUAUGUCGUAGUCCGGAUUGGAGUCUGCAACUCGACUCCAUGAAGUCGGAAUCGCUAGUAAUCGUAGAUCAGAAUGCUACGGUGAAUACGUUCCCGGGCCUUGUACACACCGCCCGUCACACCAUGGGAGUGGGUUGCAAAAGAAGUAGGUAGCUUAACCUUCGGGAGGGCGCUUACCACUUUGUGAUUCAUGACUGGGGUGAGGUCGUAACAAGGUAGCCG
rnacentral:rRNA from 1 species